rnacentral:tRNA from 1 species
GGUGGCUCAAUGGUAGAGCGCUUGCCUUGAAUGCAUGAGGCCCUGGGUUCGAUUCCUCAGUACCA